rnacentral:rRNA from 1 species
AAAUAGAACCUGAAACUGUGUGCUUACAAGUAGUCAGAGCGCGUUAAAGCGUGAUGGCGUGCCUUUUGUAGAAUGAACCGGCGAGUUACGAUAUGCGGCGAGGUUAAAGGAAGAGACCUGGAGCCGGAGCGAAAGCGAGUAUGAAAGUGCGUAAAGUCGUAUGUUGUAGACCCGAAGCCCUGUGAUCUAGUCAUGAGCAGGUUGAAGCGGAAGUAAGAUUCCGUGGAGGACCGAACUAUAGCCUGUUGAAAAAGGCCUGGAUGACUUGUGACUAGCGGAGAAAUUCCAAUCGAACUGGGCGAUAGCUGGUUCUCCCCGAAAUAGCUUUAGGGCUAGCGUUAUUUGGUAUAGCUCUAUGAGGUAGAGCACUGAAUGGUUGAGGGUCCCACCUCGGGAUACCGAGAUCAAUCAAACUCCGAAUGCAUAGAGAAUAGAAUAGCAGUCAGACUUGUGGGCGAGAAAGUUCAUGGUCAAAAGGAAAACAGUCCAGACCGCCUGAUAAGGACCCAAAAUGUAUGCUAAGUGGAAAAGGAAGUUGAGAUGCAUAGACAACCAGGAUGUUGGCUCAGAAGCAGCCAUCAUUAAAAGAGUGCGUAAUAGCUCACUGGUCGAGUGCCUCAGCGCCGAAAAUGUAGCGGGGCUAAGCAUACUUCCGAAGCAGCGGAUUCAUAUGCAAAUAUGAGUGGUAGGGGAGCGUUCUUUACUGGAAGAAGGAAUACCGAGAGGAGUUCUGGACGGUAAAGAAGUGAGAAUGCCGGUGUAAGUAACGAGAAGAUGGGUAAGAAUCCCAUCCGUCGAAAACCCAAGGUUUCCAGGGGAAGGUUCGUCCGCCCUGGGUUAGUCGGGGCCUAAGGCGAGGCCGAAAGGCGCAGCUGAUGGACAUUUGGUUUAAAAUCCAGAACCGGCAGUGAGACUGAUGGAGAGACGAAGGAGGCAAGGAUAGACUGAUUAGUGGAUUUCAGUCAAGCAUAAGAGGCUAGGAAAUAGGAAAAACCGUUCCUGAUGGUUAUUAUGCGAGGUAACGUAUUAGCUUGUCAAACUUCCAAGAAAAACUUCUAAAGAUAUGUCACUGCCGCCCGUACCGUAAACCGACACAGGUGGGUGAGAAGAGAAUUCUAAGACGCGCGAGAAAACCCUUGUUAAGGAACUCGGCAAAAUGACCCCGUAAGUUAGCGAUAAGGGGGGCUCAUAGCGAUAUGAGACACAGAAAAGAAGCCCAAGCAACUGUUUAACAAAAACACAGGUUUGUGCAAAACCGAAAGGUGAAGUAUACGAGCUGACGCCUGCCCGGUGCUGGAAGGUCAAGAGGAGAAGUUAGGAAACGAAGCUUCGAAUUUAAGCCCCAGUAAACGGCGGCCGUAACUAUAACGGUCCUAAGGUAGCGAAAUUCCUUGUCAGGUAAGUUCUGACCCGCACGAAUGGCGU